AGCAUAUUAGAAUUAUGAAGACAGAGAAAGAACCUUAGAGGAUUUCCUGAGUAGCUGGAACUAUGUGUGUGCAUCACCAUGCCUGAAUAUUUUUUUGUAGAGAUGGGGUUUCACCUUGUUACCCAGGCUGGUCUUGAACUCCUGGGCGAUACCUGUAAACUGUAAAGCUCAGUUUAACUCUUCUUAUUUCACGGGAAAUUG
rnacentral:lncRNA from 10 species